rnacentral:rRNA from 1 species
GAUGAACGCUAGCUACAGGCUUAACACAUGCAAGUCGAGGGACCGGAGCACGGGUGAGUCACCCGUAUCCAACCUGCACUUUACACGGGGAUAGCCUUUCGAAAGCAAGAUUAAUACCCGAUAUAAAGGAUGGGGAUGCGUUCAAUUAGGUUGUUGGUGAGGUAACGGCUCACCAAGCAUUCGAUGGAUAGGGGUUCUGAGAUGAAGGUCCCCCACAUUGGAACGGAGACACGGUCCAAACUCCUACGGGAGGCAGCAGUGAGUAAUAUUGGUCAAUGGGCGCUAGCCUGAACCAGCAAAAUAGCGUGAAGGAUGAAUGCUUUUGGGUCGUAAACUUCUUUUAUAUAAGAAUAUGUAUUAUAUGAAUAAGGAGCGGCUAACGCCGUGCCAGCAGCCGCGGUAAUUC